AGAAAUCACUGCUACUAAGAUACUUUAUGAGACAGAUUGAUGAGUCUACAGAUGUGUUUCUGGUCCCCAAAUGAGAAGCAGCAAAUGAACCACAGUGAUUCAUUUCCAUAAUAAACGUGCUGUUUUACUAUGAGCAUUAAUUAGCAUCACCACCACCACAAACUACCAUGACUGUUACAUUGAUUUUCUGUUGCUUUGUAUUGACAUUCAUGAGGACUUUUCUACAUCACAUCCAACUCAUCUGAAAACACAAGCCUCCAGGUUCCAGAUGCUACCCUGAUGCCAACUGGACUUCCCAGGGCAGACGACCCCACCAAUAUGUCCUGGAGCCUCACCUCCCCAGAUGCUUACCCCACUAGGGAAAGAAAGAGACAGGCUGGGAGUAUGGAUCCACCUGUCAACACCCAUGGUCAGCAGGGAAGUAAUUACGGAAGCCAG